GUGGGGAAUCUUGCGCAAUGGGCGAAAGCCUGACGCAGCCAUGCCGCGUGGAUGAUGAAGGUCUUAGGAUUGUAAAAUCCUUUCACCGGUGAAGAUAAUGACUGUAGCCGGAGAAGAAGCCCCGGCUAACUUCGUGCCAGCAGCCGCGGUAAUACGAAGGGGGCUAGCGUUGCUCGGAUUUACUGGGCGUAAAGGGCGCGUAGGCGGACAUUUAAGUCAGGGGUGAAAUCCCGGGGCUCAACCUCGGAACUGCCUUUGAUACUGGGUGUCUUGAGUAUGAGAGAGGUGUGUGGAACUCCGAGUGUAGAGGUGAAAUUCGUAGAUAUUCGCAAGAACACCGGUGGCGAAGGCGGCCAACUGGUCCAUUACUGACGCUGAGGUGCGAAAGCGUGGGGAGCAAACAGGAUUAGAAACCCUUGUAGUCC
rnacentral:rRNA from 1 species